AAUGCUGGAUCCAACUCAUAGGAAGCUAUAGCAAAAAGGCUGCUUGGGCCCAUCUCGCCCAGGACUGUCGACACUGACAGCAGCGCCUCUCCAAGGUUUCAGGGGAUGGACUGACAUGGCAACCGAUUACCGGCUCUGAUUUCCCACCCCCCGACGCCAACCCUCUCACCUGUGCUGAUGCUGCUGUAAAUUUCACUGAAGCGAGGGUCCCGCUCCUGACUGAAGAGGGUCUCUGCUUUCUCCAGAGGUUUGCCAUGGUCCGGGCCGGUGGUGGCCACCGGUUGAACGGCAGCCUGGAAGGAGAUGAGCAAACACAGGGUUGCACAGUCAGCUCAGUUCUACUCCUGAGUAGAUCCUCUGAAAUCAACGUGCCUAAGUCCUGUACUGAACGACUCCUCUAGUCGCCAAUGGCGACUGGCAACUCCACAGAGGUGAGCGCCGUGAGUUCCUUCCAGUGGAGUGUGUGGUCUACCAAAGGUGGGACACAGUGAUCCGUGUCAGUGGGUGUGUUUGUGUGUGCCCUCUGCCAGGUCUCAAUUUGGGGCAGGGAGCUGGGACGAGUCCCCAUGGAACCUCUUGGAACCUUUGCCGAUUUACCUGGGCGUGGUCGUAACUGGCUAAGCUCUCCCUGACGGGGACCACGUCGACGUCUGUUGGCUGCGUCGCCUGCUGCCUGAAACACAAGCCAUUGUUAAGAGCAGCGGAUUCUCCCUAAGAGCUGGGAGACGUGAGGGACUGGGCCCUAAUCUCUGCCAUGCGCUCACCAAACUGGCCAUCUCGCAGGGAUUAUUUAGCCAUGAUUCCCUCAUUGCAGGGGGUUGGACUAGAUGGCCCUUGGGUUGCCCUUCCAACUCUCCUACAAUUCUACAAAAGUGGCCUCAGGCAAGCUGCCAGCCCCGCCCUGGAGCAACACAGGGGACAGCAAUUGUGGUGCGGCUUUUGAGGCUGCCAGAUAAGGACACCUGCUGCGAUAAGAGCGCCCCCUGGCCUAUCGUUCUCCAGCCUAGGAUGACUUGGCAUACAGACAGGUAAGGUGGGAAAAGACCCCCCCCCAUUGGUCUCUACGGCAACCAGGCCCGCUCUUUGGACAUGUAAAUGGCAGUACUUCAGCGGCCAGCUAAAGCUGGAAUCUUGCGAAGAAACUUGUCUGAGCAGUUCAGUGGCCUCUUCUACUAGACUCUAAACCCACUGGAUACAAGAUCACAGGCCUGGAAGGGACCCAUGAAUAUCGUCCAGACUUCCCGCCCUCCUGAUAAAAAACACUUUAUUUUUAGAAGAACAGGACUUCAAAGUAACAGGAAAUAAAUGAAUUAGCAGAAACAUUAAAAAGGGGGUCUUCCAGAAUGAGACAUUCAGGUGAGGUUACCUGCUG